GACGAACGCUGGCGGCGUGCUUAACACAUGCAAGUCGAACGAAGAGCGAUGGAAGCUUGCUUCUAUCAAUCUUAGUGGCGAACGGGUGAGUAACGCGUAAUCAACCUGCCCUUCAGAGGGGGACAACAGUUGGAAACGACUGCUAAUACCGCAUACGAUCUAAUCUCGGCAUCGAGGAUAGAUGAAAGGUGGCCUCUACAUGUAAGCUAUCACUGAAGGAGGGGAUUGCGUCUGAUUAGCUAGUUGGAGGGGUAACGGCCCACCAAGGCGAUGAUCAGUAGCCGGUCUGAGAGGAUGAACGGCCACAUUGGGACUGAGACACGGCCCAGACUCCUACGGGAGGCAGCAGUGGGGAAUCUUCCGCAAUGGACGAAAGUCUGACGGAGCAACGCCGCGUGAGUGAUGACGGCCUUCGGGUUGUAAAGCUCUGUUAAUCGGGACGAAAGGCCUUCUUGCGAAUAGUUAGAAGGA
rnacentral:rRNA from 1 species